GACGAACGCUGGCGGCGUGCCUAACACAUGCAAGUCGAGCGAGAAUCUCUUAACGGAUCCCUUCGGGGGUGAAGAUAAGAGAGGAAAGCGGCGGACGGGUGAGUAACGCGUGAAGAACCUGCCUUUCAGUGGGGGACAACAGUUGGAAACGACUGCUAAUACCGCAUAAUGUAUUCGGACGGCAUCGUCUGGAUACCAAAGCUUUAUGUGCUGAAAGAUGGCUUCGCGUCUGAUUAGCUAGAUGGCGGGGUAACGGCCCACCAUGGCGACGAUCAGUAGCCGGUCUGAGAGGAUGAACGGCCACAUUGGGACUGAGAUACGGCCCAGACUCCUACGGGAGGCAGUAGUGGGGAAUAUUGGGCAAUGGGGGAAACCCUGACCCAGCAACGCCGCGUGAAGGAAGAAGGCCUCGGUUGGUAAACUUCUUUACCUAGGACGAAGAACGUGACGGUACCUGGAGAAAAAGACAACGGCGUAACUACGUG
rnacentral:rRNA from 1 species